CGAGCGAGCUUGCCUAGAUGAUUUUAGUGCUUGCACUAAAUGAAACUAGAUACAAGCGAGCGGCGGACGGGUGAGUAACACGUGGGUAACCUGCCCAAGAGACUGGGAUAACACCUGGAAACAGAUGCUAAUACCGGAUAACAACACUAGACGCAUGUCUAGAGUUUGAAAGAUGGUUCUGCUAUCACUCUUGGAUGGACCUGCGGUGCAUUAGCUAGUUGGUAAGGUAACGGCUUACCAAGGCAAUGAUGCAUAGCCGAGUUGAGAGACUGAUCGGCCACAUCGGGACUGAGACACGGCCCAAACUCCUACGGGAGGCAGCAGUAGGGAGUCUUCCACAAUGGACGAAAGUCUGAUGGAGCAACGCCGCGUGAGUGAAGAAGGGUUUCGGCUCGUAAAGCUCUGUUGGUAGUGAAGAAAGAUAGAGGUAGUAACUGGCCUUUAUUUGACGGUAAUUACUUAGAAAGUCACGGCUAACUACGUGCCAGCAGCCGCGGUAAUACGUAGGUGGCAAGCGUUGUCCGGAUUUAUUGGGCGUAAAGCGAGUGCAGGCGGUUCAAUAAGUCUGAUGUGAAAGCCUUCGGCUCAACCGGAGAAUUGCAUCAGAAACUGUUGAACUUGAGUGCAGAAGAGGAGAGUGGAACUCCAUGUGUAGCGGUGGAAUGCGUAGAUAUAUGGAAGAACACCAGUGGCGAAGGCGGCUCUCUGGUCUGCAACUGACGCUGAGGCUCGAAAGCAUGGGUAGCGAACAGGAUUAGAUACCCUG
rnacentral:rRNA from 1 species